rnacentral:rRNA from 1 species
AGAGUUUGAUCAUGGCUCAGAACGAACGCUGGCGGCGUGGAUAAGACAUGCAAGUCGAACGCUAAUUACCGGGUAGCAAUAUUCGGUAGUUGGAGUGGCGCAAGGGUGCGUAACACGUGGGUAAUUUGCCAAGAAGUUGGGGAUAACUCGCUGAAAGGCGAGCUAAUACCGAAUGUGAAUUUUAGAAGGCAUCUUUCGAAAUUCAAAGUUGGGGACCGUAAGGCCUGACGCUUCUUGAUAAGCCCGCGGCCUAUCAGCUAGUUGGUGAGGUAACGGCUCACCAAGGCUAAGACGGGUAGCUGGUCUGAGAGGACGACCAGCCACACUGGAACUGAGACACGGUCCAGACACCUACGGGUGGCAGCAGUCGAGAAUUUUUCUCAAUGGGCGCAAGCCUGAAGGAGCGACGCCGCGUGGGGGAUGAAGGGCUUCGGCCCGUAAACCCCUGUCAUUUGCGAACAAUUCGAUUCACCUAACACGUGAAGCGUUGAUAGUAGCGAAAGAGGAAGGGACGGCUAACUCUGUGCCAGCAGCCGCGGUAAUACAGAGGUCCCAAGCGUUGUUCGGAUUCACUGGGCGUAAAGGGUGCGUAGUGGCGGGGUCAAGUUUGAUGUGAAAUCUCCGAGCUCAACUCGGAAAUGGCAUUGAAUACUAUCUCGCUUGAGGGUCGGAGGGGAGACUGGAAUUCUCGGUGUAGCAGUGAAAUGCGUAGAUAUCGAGAGGAACACCAGUGGCGAAGGCGAGUCUCUGGACGACUCCUGACACUGAGGCACGAAAGCUAGGGGAGCAAACAGGAUUAGAUACCCUGGUAGUCCUAGCUGUAAACGGUGCACAUUUGCUGUGAACGGAUUCGACCCCGUUCGUGGCGAAGCUAACGCGUUAAAUGUGCCGCCUGGGAAGUACGGUCGCAAGAUUAAAACUCAAAUGAAUUGACGG